rnacentral:rRNA from 1 species
UCCGGAUUUACUGGGUGUAAAGGGAGCGUAGACGGUUGUGCAAGUCAGAAGUGAAAGCCACGGGCUCAACCUGUGGCCUGCAUUUGAAACUGUUUUUCUUGAGUACUGGAGAGGCAGACGGAAUUCCUAGUGUAGCGGUGAAAUGCGUAGAUAUUAGGAGGAACACCAGUGGCGAAGGCGGUCUGCUGGACAGCAACUGACGCUGAGGCGCGAAAGCGUGGGGAGCAAACAGG